rnacentral:rRNA from 1 species
UCCCCCUGGGGGGCCCCGCCGGCCCACCCCUAUUUUUUGAGAAAGGGUUGAGUGAGCAUACCUGUCGGGACCCGAAAGAUGGUGAACUAUGCCUGAGCGGGGCGAAGCCCGAGGAAACUUUGGUGGAGGCCCGCAGCGAUACUGACGUGCAAAUUGUUUGUUUGACUUGGGUAUAGGGGCGAAAGAAUAAUUGAACCCUUUUGUAGCUGGUUCCCUUCGAAGUUUCCCUCCGGAUAGCUGGAGCCCCAGUGCGAGUUCUAUCAGGUAAAGCCAAUGAUUAGAGGCAUCGGGGGCGCAACGUCCUCGACCUAUUCUCAAACUUUAAAUAGGUAGGAUGGCGCGGCUGCUUCGUUGAGCCGCGCCACGGAAUCGAGAGCUCCAAGUGGGCCAUUUUUGGUAAGCAGAACUGGCGAUGCGGGAUGAACCGGAAGCCGGGUUACGGUGCCCAACUGCGCGCUAACCUAGAACCCACAAAGGGUGUUGGUCGAUUAAGACAGCA